CGGAGGGAUCAUUACCGAGUUUACAACUCCCAAACCCAAUGUGAACGUUACCAAACUGUUGCCUCGGCGGGAUCUCUGCCCCGGGUGCGUCGCAGCCCCGGACCAAGGCGCCCGCCGGAGGACCAACCUAAAACUCUUAUUGUAUACCCCCUCGCGGGUUUUUUUAUAAUCUGAGCCUUCUCGGCGCCUCUCGUAGGCGUUUCGAAAAUGAAUCAAAACUUUCAACAACGGAUCUCUUGGUUCUGGCAUCGAUGAAGAACGCAGCGAAAUGCGAUAAGUAAUGUGAAUUGCAGAAUUCAGUGAAUCAUCGAAUCUUUGAACGCACAUUGCGCCCGCCAGUAUUCUGGCGGGCAUGCCUGUCCGAGCGUCAUUUCAACCCUCGAACCCCUCCGGGGGGUCGGCGUUGGGGAUCGGCCCUCCCUUAGCGGGUGGCCGUCUCCGAAAUACAGUGGCGGUCUCGCCGCAGCCUCUCCUGCGCAGUAGUUUGCACACUCGCAUCGGGAGCGCGGCGCGUCCACAGCCGUUAAACACCCAACUUCUGAAAUGUUGACCUCGGAUCAGGUAGGAAUACCCGCUGAACUUAAGCAUAUCAAUAAGCGGAGGAAAAGAAACCAACAGGGAUUGCCCCAGUAACGGCGAGUGAAGCGGCAACAGCUCAAAUUUGAAAUCUGGUCCCUAGGGCCCGAGUUGUAAUUUGUAGAGGAUGCUUUUGGUGAGGUGCCGCCCGAGUUCCCUGGAACGGGACGCCACAGAGGGUGAGAGCCCCGUCUGGCUGGCCGCCGAGCCUCUGUAAAGCUCCUUCGACGAGUCGAGUAGUUUGGGAAUGCUGCUCAAAAUGGGAGGUAUAUGUCUUCUAAAGCUAAAUAUUGGCCAGAGACCGAUAGCGCACAAGUAGAGUGAUCGAAAGA
rnacentral:rRNA from 1 species